rnacentral:lncRNA from 1 species
CUCUUUCUGGUGGCCCUGCAAGCCCAGGAUGCCCAGUCUGCUCCAAUGCAAGGGCAGGGAGCAGUGAAAGAUACCCAGAAGAUACCAGAGGAGCUCCUAAGAGCCUUGGAGAAAGCUGCAUCUGGUUAGUAUAUCCCACUCUCUUAACCGUAGGACUUGGGAUGCUGAACUUUUUGCUUACUCUGGGGAUCUGCUGUAGCCUAUGCAGCAAGAAGGGAUCAGUCAGAGCCUCACUGCAAGGACACUCCAUUUCACACCUUGC